CGUCAGGUAUAUAAACCUCUUGGGCGACUACACAUCCUCAGCAGCACUCACAUUACAUUUUACUCUCAAUCAGCACAGCAAGCCAGCAAGUCAACUCUAAAAUGCGUUCGCUAUUGAUCCUCCUCUGCUUCGUCGUGCUGACCAUCGCAUUUGUUGCCGGAGCCCCCCAGGUCGGUGGUAAUCCGUGCACUUGGGGACCGGGUUUCUGGUGUAGUAGCUAUGCAAACGCUCGGCGAUGCGAUGCUAUCGCCGCUUGUAACAGCCUCGGAUGGAAAACGAACUAAACGAGAUGUCUUAUACUAAGCCAACGUAGUCGAACGUGGUUAUAUUCGCUUCCACCUAAAUAGUUGAAUAUAACUACCACUUAUUAACUGCUAUUUCAUUAUUCAAGCUUUGCGGGAAGGCACGGUGGAGGCUAAAUGGCAAUACAAGAAAUAGGUGAAUCGGAUUAUUUGUUGUUAAAAAAUUGAGAGAUUUUUAAAAAUACAAAAAUGUUCGUUUCAA